rnacentral:lncRNA from 1 species
CCAAAACGUGACCUAAACCACUACCUACAACCUCCCGAGUUCGAAUCCGGACUCUGAAAUCCCUAAACCAAACUCAAGGCGUUUGCAUGUUGCGAUUUAAAGCAAAAUAAAAGGGGUUCGUUAUAUUUACCACGGCAAAGGAGGUGAGGGGUGGCUUCAGGCGAAGAAGGAGUGGUUUGAUCCGAGUCCGUCGCCGGCAACCCAUCGCAGUUUCGGAUAAGUUUUCUUCCUCAACCUGCUUCUUUGUCU